UACGAAGGGGGCUAGCGUUGUUCGGAAUUACUGGGCGUAAAGCGCGUGUAGGCGGUUCGGUAAGUCCGCUGUGAAAGUCGGGGGCUCAACCCUCGGAAGCCGGUGGAUACUGUCGAGCUAGAGUACGGAAGAGGCGAGUGGAAUUCCUGGUGUAGCGGUGAAAUGCGCAGAUAUCAGGAGGAACACCAAUUGCGAAGGCAGCUCGCUGGGACGUUACUGACGCUGAGACGCGAAAGCGUGGGGAGCAAACAGG
rnacentral:rRNA from 1 species